GACGAACGCUGGCGGCGUGCCUAACACAUGCAAGUCGAACGGUUCAAGCAGCAAUGUUUGGAUAGUGGCGGACGGGUGAGUAACGCGUGGGCAACCUGCCUAUCACAGGGGGAUAACACAGGGAAACUUGUGCUAAUACCGCAUAAAAUCAUAGAAGGACAUCCUUUAAUGAUCAAAGGAGCAAUCCGGUGAUAGAUGGGCCCGCGUCCGAUUAGCUAGUUGGUGGUGUAACGGACCACCAAGGCGACGAUCGGUAGCCGAACUGAGAGGUUGAUCGGCCACAUUGGGACUGAGACACGGCCCAGACUCCUACGGGAGGCAGCAGUGGGGAAUCUUGCGCAAUGGGCGAAAGCCUGACGCAGCCAUGCCGCGUGAAUGAUGAAGGUCUUAGGAUUGUAAAAUUCUUUCACCGGGGACGAUAAUGACGGUACCCGGAGAAGAAGCCCCGGCUAACUUCGUGCCAGCCGCCGCAGUAAAAC
rnacentral:rRNA from 1 species